rnacentral:rRNA from 1 species
UACAGAGGUCUCAAGCGUUGUUCGGAUUCAUUGGGCGUAAAGGGUGCGUAGGCGGCGCGGUAAGUCGGGUGUGAAAUCUCGGGGCUUAACUCCGAAACUGCAUUCGAUACUGCCGUGCUUGAGGACUGGAGAGGAGACUGGAAUUUACGGUGUAGCGGUGAAAUGCGUAGAUAUCUGGAGGAAUACCGGUGGCGAAGGCGGCAUCCUGGACCGGCAUUGACGCUGAGGAGCGAAAGCCAGGGGAGCAAAGCGGG